GGUGAUGUAGCUCAGCUGGUUAGAGCGAUGGAUUCAUAAUCCAUAGGUCGAGGGUUCAAGUCCCCCCAUCACUACCA
rnacentral:tRNA from 1 species